CUACGGGAGGCAGCAGUGGGGGAUUUUGGACAAUGGGCGCAAGCCUGAUCCAGCAAUGCCGCGUGUGUGAAGAAGGCCUGCGGGUUGUAAAGCACUUUAAGCAGGAAAGAAGGCUUCAGGGUUAAUACCCUUGGGGAUUGACGUUACCUGCAGAAUAAGCACCGGCUAACUCCGUGCCAGCAGCCGCGGUAAUACGGAGGGUGCGAGCGUUAAUCGGAAUUACUGGGCGUAAAGCGCGCGUAGGCGGUUUGCUAAGUCCGCUGUGAAAGCCCCGGGCUUAACCUGGGAACUGCAGUGGAUACUGGCAAGCUAGAGUAUGGUAGAGGAGAGUGGAAUUUCCGGUGUAGCAGUGAAAUGCGUAGAGAUCGGAAGGAACACCAGUGGCGAAGGCGGCUCUCUGGACCAAUACUGACGCUGAGGUGCGAAAGCGUGGGGAGCAAACAGGAUUAGAAACCCGAGUAGUCC
rnacentral:rRNA from 1 species